GGACUGGUGAGUAACGCGUGGGUAAUCUGCCUUGGGCAUGGGGAUAGCCAUUAGAAAUAGUGGGUAAUACCGAAUACGUUCCACGGGGGGAGUGCUUGUGGAAGAAAGGGUGCUAGGGCACUGGCCUGAGAUGAGCUCGCGUCCCAUUAGCUAGUUGGUGAGGUAAAGGCCCACCAAGGCGAUGAUGGGUAGCCGGCCUGAGAGGGUGUACGGCCACACUGGGACUGAGAUACGGCCC
rnacentral:rRNA from 1 species